rnacentral:tRNA from 1 species
GAGAGGAUGGGACUGGUGUCUCGGCCGGUCUUCAAAACCGGUAGCCGGCGGAUAAAACCGUCGGUGGCAGGUUCGAUUCCUGCCCUCUC